AAAAACUUAGUUAAAUUAAAUAACGUUAACUUGUCAAGUUAUUAUUACUAAAAGUAGUUUUUA
rnacentral:tRNA from 1 species